rnacentral:rRNA from 1 species
UUUGGUGAUGAUGCGCUUAGGGGAAACACCCGUUCCCAUACCGAACACGACGGUUAAGACCUAAGCGGCCGAUGGUACUUGUCUGGAGACGGACUGGGAGAGUAGGUGGUUGCCAAAU